rnacentral:SRP_RNA from 1 species
GCCAGAGGUGGUGGCGCGUGCCUGUGGUCCCAGCUACUCAGGAGGCUGAGGCUGGAGGAUCUCUUUAGCCCAGGAGUUCUGGGCUGCAGUGCGCCAUGCCGAUCGGGUGUCUGCACUAAGUUUGGCAUCGAUACGGUGACCUCCUGGGAACGCGGGACCACCAGGUUGCCUAAGGAGGGGUGAACCAGCCCAGGUCGGAAACGGAGCAGGUCAAAACUCCCGUGCUCAUCAGUAGUGGGAUCGCGCCUGCGAACAGCCACUGCACUCCAGCCUGGGCAACACAACCAGACCCUGUCUCU